AAAAAAAAAAAAAAAAAAAAAAAAAAGAUUAAAGUAAUAAUAAAAGAAAAAAAAAAAAAAAAAAAAAAAAAAAAAAAAAAAAAAAAAAAAAAAAAAAAAAAAGCUAGAAAAAAAAAAAAAAAAAAAAAAAAAAAAAAAAAAAAAAAAAAAGAUAAUUUGUUAUAACUCAAAGCUUUUCACCUGAAAAAACUUUAUCUACAGACUGUUUAGUAACCCACUAGCUUUCACUGAAGACAUGGGAGCAUUCAUCUUUAAUAACCUAGUCAACACUGUAAAUAAUCAAGUUGCAGCAAACACCAAGUAUCAUUCCAUGAGACAGUAAGUCCCCCAUGUAUUAGAGCUUAUAACUAGGAUUCAAAGAAGGAAAUACUUUAGGUAUCAGCAGUUUUCAGAUUCAUUUCUGCCCAUGAUAACUUUUUGUUGAAGGCAAU
ensembl:lncRNA